rnacentral:rRNA from 1 species
GACGAACGCUGGCGGCGUGCUUAACACAUGCAAGUCGAACGGAAAGGCCCUGCUUUUGUGGGGUGCUCGAGUGGCGAACGGGUGAGUAACACGUGAGUAACCUGCCCUUGACUUUGGGAUAACUUCAGGAAACUGGGGCUAAUACCGGAUAGGAGCUCCUGCUGCAUGGUGGGGGUUGGAAAGUUUCGGCGGUUGGGGAUGGACUCGCGGCUUAUCAGCUUGUUGGUGGGGUAGUGGCUUACCAAGGCUUUGACGGGUAGCCGGCCUGAGAGGGUGACCGGCCACAUUGGGACUGAGAUACGGCCCAGACUCAUACGGGAGGCAGCAGUGGGGAAUAUUGCACAAUGGGCGGAAGCCGGAUGCAGCAACGCCGCGUGCGGGAUGACGGCCUUCGGGUUGUAAACCGCUUUCGCCUGUGACGAAGCGUGAGUGACGGUAAUGGGUAAAGAAGCACCGGCUAACUACGG